rnacentral:RNase_P_RNA from 1 species
GAGGAAAGUCCGGGCUUCUCAGGACAGGAUGGUCGAUAACGUCGACCGGCCGCGAGGCCAGGGAAAGUGCAACAGAGAGUAGACCGCCGAACGGUCCGCUUCGGCGGGCGCGUGGUAAGGGUGAAACGGUGCGGUAAGAGCGCACCAGCGAUCGGGGUGACUCGAUCGGCUUGGUAAACCCCAUCCGAAGCUAGACCAAACAGAGCGGAGUUGUUUCAACCGGCGCCCCCGCGGCGUCGGUUGGCACGCAAGGCGGUCCGUCUUGUCAACCACGUUCGGGUAGGUCGCGAUUGAGGCGGCGAGCAAUCGUCGUGCACAGAUAAAUGAUCGUCGUCGAUCCUGUGUCGGGCACAGUUCGCUGUGUGGCACAGUUCGUCACAGAACCCGGCUUA